GGCGGACGGGUGAGUAAUGCUUAGGAAUCUGCCUAAUAGUGGGGGACAACAUUUCGAAAGGAAUGCUAAUACCGCAUACGUCCUUCGGGAGAAAGCAGGGGAUCUUCGGACCUUGCGCUAAUAGAUGAGCCUAAGUCGGAUUAGCUAGUUGGUCGGGUAAAGGCCUACCAAGGCGACGAUCUGUAGCGGGUCUGAGAGGAUCAUCCGCCACACUGGGACUGAGACACGGCCCAGACUCCUAAGGGAGGCAGCAGUGGGGAAUAUUGGACAAUGGGCGCAAGCCUGAUCCAGCCAUGCCGCGUGUGUGAAGAAGGCCUUAUGGUUGUAAGCACUUUAAGCGAGGAGGAGGCUACUUUAGAUAAUACCUAUGAGAUACGUGGACGUUACUCGCAGAAUAAGCACCGGCUAACUCUGUGCCAGCAGCCGCGGUAAUACAGAGGGUGCAAGCCGUUAAUCGGAUUUACUGGGCGUAAAGCGCGCGUAGCGCGGCUAAUUAAGUCAAAUGUGAAAUCCCCGAGCUUAACUUGGGAAUUGCAUUACGAUACUGGUUAGCUAGAGUGUGGGAGAGGAUGGUAGAAUUCCAGGUGUAGCGGUGAAAUAGCGUAGAGAUCUGCGAGGAAUACCGAUGGCGAAGGCAGCCAU
rnacentral:rRNA from 1 species